GCUGCUCAAAGAGAGAUUAUCCUUCUUGGGUUUGCAUUGAUUGUCAUGAACAUGCAUAGGGCAAUCUCUCUGAGAAGC
rnacentral:pre_miRNA from 1 species